UGUAGGAGUGAGCCUGCUCGCGAUAACGGUUUUUCAGUCAAUGAUGCAGCGACUGACAGACCGCUAUCGCGAGCAGGCUCACUCCUACA
rnacentral:misc_RNA from 1 species